UACGGGGGGGACGAGCGUUGUUCGGAUUUACUGGGCGUAAAGGGCGCGUAGGCGGGCCUUCAAGUCGGGUGUGAAACCUGGUGGCUUAACCACCAGCCUGCACUUGAUACUGUUGGCCUUGAGUACAGGAGAGGAGAGUGGAAUUCCAGGUGUAGCGGUGAAAUGCGUAGAUAUCUGGAAGAACACCAGUAGCGAAGGCGGCUCUCUGGACUGAUACUGACGCUCAAGCGCGAAGGCUUGGGGAG
rnacentral:rRNA from 1 species